rnacentral:rRNA from 1 species
GAUGAACGCUGGCGGCGUGCCUAAUACAUGCAAGUCGAGCGAAUGGAUUAAGAGCUUGCUCUUAUGAAGUUAGCGGCGGACGGGUGAGUAACACGUGGGUAACCUGCCCAUAAGACUGGGAUAACUCCGGGAAACCGGGGCUAAUACCGGAUAACAUUUUGAACCGCGUGGUUAGAAAUUGAAAGACGGCUUCGGCUGUCACUGAUGGAUGGACCCGCGUCGCAUUAGCUAGUUGGUGAGGUAACGGCUCACCAAGGCAACGAUGCGUAGCCGACCUGAGAGGGUGACCGGCCACACUGGGACUGAGACACGGCCCAGACGCCUACGGGAGGCAGCAGUAGGGAAUCUUCCGCAAUGGACGAAAGUCUGACGGAGCAACGCCGCGUGAGUGAUGAAGGCUUUCGGGUCGUAAAACUCUGUUGUUAGGGAAGAACAAGUGCUAGUUGAAUAAGCUGGCACCUUGACGGUACCUAACCAGAAAGCCACGGCUAACUACGUGCCAGCAGCCGCGGUAA